UCUGGCCAUUUUUACGUUGAGUUGAGCAACUGCUUCUCCGUUCUCUAUCUGUUGAUACUACUUUCGCGAAAGGACGCUUUAUUAAUUGUGUUGUGUGUUACGUGUUUUAUUGAAAAUGACGAGUUUGCAAUGCAUCAAUUGCAAUGUUCGCUUGUCCCGAAGAAGAAGACACGCUUUAUCAAAUGACGGUGAAGAUAUCGUCAACACUAAUCGUCUGUGGACAUAUCUUAGAGAUAUUACACCAGAUGACCAUGUUUACCAUGAAUGCUGGCAGCUAGCUAGUCAUUCAUGUUCUUCUGAUAAUAUGCCGAGAAGACACAUAGGCCAUCAGUGUUUGUGUUGUAUGUGGACAACCCAUACUAAGAAUCAGGCAAUGCAGAAUUUUGAUUGAAGAAAAACAAAGAACGGCUUACACAAUUGCUACUUAGAUAUAACCACGACAGCUUCAUCCUGACGAUAAAGCUUGUGUGCGGUGUUGGUUAAGAGUGAAAACUAAGGAUACUUCACCAAAUGAAGAUAUUCAACCCGUUGAACCUUAUCAGCAGGAAAGUGAUAAUUCUGAACUGAUGUGUGCUGCACGUGGUCAAAGUCUUACUCCCGACAACACUGCUUGUUUGUUGGAGCACCAGCAGACACCUUCCAUUAAUGAAGUUUGUGAAGUUUGCUGGGGCCAAGUAUGCAAUUUGAACUUCUAUGUUCCAGAUGGUCUAUGUUGCUUCAAGCUAAAAUAAAGUCCUGCCACUCUUCUCCUAGAACUUAUUUUGUUUUCAUAGUUGCAGAAACAAAUAUGAAUAGCCGGGACACAAUCAAAAGUGAUUGCUGUAAUUGUAUUGUAGGUUUAAGAACAGUGGGAUGCUGCUCACAUGUUAUGAGCAUUCUUUGGUAUUUGAGUUAUGCUUGCCAUGAGGGUAUGAGCCGACCUGCCCCUUUCUUGGAUGAAGUAAUAUUAAGAACCAAUCAAGUAAUUAUAAGAAAAUAAAGUAAAUGAA